rnacentral:rRNA from 1 species
AUUGAACGCUGGCGGCAUGCCGUACACAUGCAAGUCGAACGGUAACGGGCCUUCGGGUGCCGACGAGUGGCGAACGGGUGAGUAAUACAUCGGAACGUGCCCGAUCGUGGGGGAUAACGAGGCGAAAGCUUUGCUAAUACCGCAUACGAUCUACGGAUGAAAGCAGGGGACCGCAAGGCCUUGCGCGGACGGAGCGGCCGAUGGCAGAUUAGGUAGUUGGUGGGAUAAAAGCUUACCAAGCCGACGAUCUGUAGCUGGUCUGAGAGGAUGAUCAGCCACACUGGGACUGAGACACGGCCCAGACUCCUACGGGAGGCAGCAGUGGGGAAUUUUGGACAAUGGGCGCAAGCCUGAUCCAGCCAUGCCGCGUGCAGGAUGAAGGCCUUCGGGUUGUAAACUGCUUUUGUACGGAACGAAAAGCCUUCUUUUAAUACAGGAGGGUCAUGACGGUACCGUAAGAAUAAGCACCGGCUAACUACGUG